GUUACCAACUGUUGGACGUCAGUCUGGAUCUGAACAGAUGCAUCUACUAAUUCCUGUUCCUCACCCUUGUCAUCUGGAAUGGCGGCACAGUCUUGUGCAAUUUGUGCUCUCAGGCAGUCCCAUCUUGAUGCAGUGUCCAAAAUCAACCCUGACAAAACAAGGUCAGGAUAAGGAGAAAACACCUUCACAAGAGCUCUUGAGUGGCCAGAGAAAAAUCACUCACAACUUCUUUUGGGACAGAUGCACCUGCACGAAUCCAUUCGGUCCGCAAUUGUGCGAUGACAUUAACCUCAUGUUUCUCUGACACAAUUUGCACCACUGAGUGACUUAUGUGCCGUGUCAAAACAUGCCGAUACAGGCCUUGACAGUUUUCAUAGAACUGAUCCAUCAAAACAUACUGUCUGGUGAGUUUUCUUUAUGAAGGUCAUUUUGGUGUUUGACUCCAGUAUUGACAGAAAAACAAGUCCAGUCCAAUGUCUCUGAUGCUACCGCUGUGAGGUGAACUGUAUUUUAACAGCUGCAAAGAAUAAAUUGGAUGUCACCUAAUUCCAAAUCAUCCCUUUCUUGUUUUGCUUUGUGCAGGGUGGCCAAAUUGGGCAGAUGAGUUGGCUCUGGAUCGCCAAAGUCCAUAAGCUUUUUUGCCUGUGAUGCCCUACAAACAUUUAUUUGCAUCUUGUCCUCGCACAGUUCUGCGGUUAACUGCACACGCACAUCUCCAGACUAAAAAGGCUUCCAACAGCCUAGUGUGCAAGGAGUCAUCUGUGUUUUUGAUGUAGCAUUUGCACACCACUGGGCUGUUAAUUGCAGGCUCUCUGUCAAAUGUUAAAUGGACAUACAUGACCGUGACACUCCUUAUAGCAGCCUUUCAUGUCAAUGUAAUUGCUGGUGAUUAACAGAUUGGCUCUUUUAAAACCAAAUGUACAGGAACUCUUCACCACCUUCCAAAUACCAUGAGUCCAGGUGCCAGGCUUCAACAUUGUGAAUUCCAUUAGUUUUUUUGUUUUAUCCUGUUUGUCUUUGUAUUCAGC